GGCUUCCAUCUGGAAGAAUCUGGAGACAGGUGCUGCAUGGCUGUCGUCAGCUCGUGUCGUGAGAUGUUGGGUUAAGUCCCGCAACGAGCGCAACCCUUGCCUUUAGUUGCCAGCAGUUCGGGCUGGGCACUCUAAAGGGACUGCCGGUGUUAAACCGGAGGAAGGUGGGGAUGACGUCAAGUCCUCAUGGCCUUUAUGACCAGGGCUACACACGUACUACAAUGGCCGAUACAAAGGGCAGCGACACUGCGAGGUGAAGCCAAUCCCGUAAAAUCGGUCUCAGUCCGGAUUGGAGUCUGCAACUCGACUCCAUGAAGUUGGAAUCGCUAGUAAUCGUGGAUCAGCAUGCCACGGUGAAUACGUUCCCGGGCCUU
rnacentral:rRNA from 1 species